rnacentral:rRNA from 2 species
AGCCUGAUGCAGCCAUGCCGCGUGUAUGAAGAAGGCCUUCGGGUUGUAAAGUACUUUCAGCAGUGAGGAAGGUGGAGGUGUUAAUAGCGCAUUCAUUUGACGUUAGCUGCAGAAGAAGCACCGGCUAACUCCGUGCCAGCAGCCGCGGUAAUACGGAGGGUGCGAGCGUUAAUCGGAAUUACUGGGCGUAAAGCGCAUGCAGGUGGUUUGUUAAGUCAGAUGUGAAAGCCCGGGGCUCAACCUCGGAAUUGCAUUUGAAACUGGCAGACUAGAGUACUGUAGAGGGGGGUAGAAUUUCAGGUGUAGCGGUGAAAUGCGUAGAGAUCUGAAGGAAUACCGGUGGCGAAGGCGGCCCCCUGGACAGAUACUGACACUCAGAUGCGAAAGCGUGGGGAGCAAACAGGAUUAGAUACCCUGGUAGUCCACGCCGUAAACGAUGUCUACUUGGAGGUUGUGGCCUUGAGCCGUGGCUUUCGGAGCUAACGCGUUAAGUAGACCGCCUGGG